rnacentral:rRNA from 1 species
CCGGUUGAUCCUGCCGGAGGUCACUGCUAUUGGGAUUCGACUAAGCCAUGCGAGUCGAGAGGGUUCGGCCCUCGGCUGACGGCUCAGUAACACGUGGAUAAUCUGCCCUUAGGUGGAGGAUAAUCUCGGGAAACUGAGGAUAAUACUCCAUAGAUCUAGGAUGCUGGAAUGCAUCUAGACUGAAAGCUCCGGCGCCUAAGGAUGAGUCUGCGGACUAUCAGGUUGUAGUCAGGGUAAAGACCUGACUAGCCUACGACGGAUACGGGUUGUGAGAGCAAUAACCCGGAGACGAUAUCUGAGACACGAUAUCGGGCCCUACGGGGCGCAGCAGGCGCGAAAACUUCACACUGUGCGAAAGCGCGAUGAGGGAAUCCCAAGUGCUUGCUCGUAAGAGUAAGCUGUUUCUUUGUCUAAAACGCAGAGAGAGUAAGGGCUGGGUAAGACGGGUGCCAGCCGCCGCGGUAAUACCUGCAGCUCAAGUGGUGAUCAUUAUUAUUGGGCCUAAAACGUCCGUAGCCGGUUUAGUAAAUGCCUGGGUAAAUCGUGUAGCUUAACUAUACGAAUUCUGGGUAGACUGCUAAACUUGAGACCGGGAGAGGCUAGAGGUACUCCU